AGUAAAAUGGCUGAUAAAGGUGAUAAAUUGUAAAUUUAUUUAUGAAAUUAAUUUCUUUUACUA
rnacentral:tRNA from 1 species